UUUUUUUUUUAAGCUGAACCUAACCCUUCAAAAAGAUCCUUUUUUCUCCUUCCCUCCCCCUAAUUUAUUUUUAGGUUGCAUGCACUCCUGGCUAUGUUUCUUCCUCAGUCCCAGCUGAAGAUUUCAAGGGAGAUGAGAGCUCUAUUUUGUUUCUCCCUUGUAUUGCAGAUAGGGGGAGGAGGUGGUUAUUAGAGAGAAGCGCUCUCGCUCGCUCUCUCUGUUUCUCCCUCUCUGGCUGAUAGCACUUAUCUCUCGCUCUCUCUCCUUCUCCUAGGUGAUCCAUUUCUAGGCAACGUGCUGGCUGGUGCUGGAGCUGCCAGCUCUCUCUGCAUCCCACCAGCAAAGCGAGCUCCAAAAGCAACCUGCAGACCAUCAUCUGCUUUCCUCUGCCUUGCUCCGGGCUCUCCUUCUCUCGCUCCUGCCCUGUCCAACCACUGCCUUGCGCGACAGAGACAGCACGCUGGGCUUGAUUUGCAGAUUUAUUUAUUUUUUUCCUCCAGUUGUGGGAAGCGAUUUUCAAGCAGAGGGUGGGGGGGGGAUCUCUGCAUUACUAUCUGCAUUACCUUGAAGUUCACUUUGUUUUUUGGCCUCCGGGGGGGCUUUUCCUGCAGGAAUCUGGCUGCUGGAACCGGGAUCGCCGCCUCGCCCGGUUCCCCUUACUGAAGGCGAGCUGUUUGCAGCGGGCUCCUGGGGCUCCUCUGGCUGAGAGGGUUUGUGUGGCUCGUGUGUGCGUGUGUGUGCGUGCGUGCGUGUGUGUGCUGUGGGUUGGAAGUUGCUGUGCAGCAGCCGGGACCGAGCGGAUCCCUGGACCCGGCGGAAGGAUGGGGAUUGUCUGACCAGCAGAGGCGUCUGCUGCCCGCGGCGGCGCCCGGGCCGGGGGGGUUUGCUGCCCCCNNNNNNNNNNNNNNNNNNNNNNNNNNNNNNNNNNNNCCCCUCUCCCAGCCGCAGCUGGGCGCCAGCCAUCGGGAUUUACACGCUCCUCCGGCGCCUCAAACUCUUGGGCUUCCUGCGCCGCGUUAUCCUCCUUGUUGGCAUCGUUUUGCGAAGAGAUCUGUUGUUACAACGCUUGGACCUCCGGAGGAGAUGGAAGUUUUCUCCCUCAUCCUGGUUGUGUCCGUCUGUUGGACUCGAACCUGGAAAGCGGCGAUUGCAGAUUCAAUCAUUCACAUCGGCAGGAAGUCUUGACAUGAGUAUCGAUCGGGAAAUGGCACCCCACUGUGCUAGAAGCUGUACAAAUGGGAA
rnacentral:lncRNA from 1 species